rnacentral:rRNA from 1 species
CAGUCGCCGCGGUAAUGCGUAGGUCCCGAGCGUUGUCCGGAUUUAUUGGGCGUAAAGGGAGCGCAGGCGGUUUAGUAAGUCUGAUGUGAAAGCCCACGGCUCAACCGUGGAGGGUCAUUGGAAACUGUUAAACUUGAGUGCAGGAGAGAAAAGUGGAAUUCCUAGUGUAGCGGUGAAAUGCGUAGAGAUUAGGAGGAACACCAGUGGCGAAGGCGGCUUUUUGGCCUGUAACUGACACUGAGGCGCGAAAGCGUGGGGAGCAAACAGGAUUAGAUACCCCCGUAGUCCCUGUCUCUUAUAU